CCUACGGGGGGCAGCAGUGAGGAAUAUUGAGCAAUGGGCGCAAGCCUGACUCAGCAACGCCGCGUGGACGAUGACGGCCUUCGGGUUGUAAAGUCCUUUUCUGCGGGACGAUAAUGACGGUACCGCAGGAAUAAGUCCCGGCUAACUACGUGCCAGCAGCCGCGGUAAAACGUAGGGGGCGAGCGUUAUCCGGAUUUACUGGGCGUAAAGCGCAUGUAGGCGGUCUGGCAAGUUGGACGUGAAAGCUCCUGGCUUAACUGGGAGAGGUCGGACAAAACUACCAGGCUUGAGGCUGGAAGAGGAGUGUGGAAUUCCCGGUGUAGUGGUGGAAUGCGUAGAUAUCGGGAGGAACCCCAGUGGCGAAAGCGGCACUCUGGUUCAGACCUGACGCUGAGAUGCGAAAGCGUGGGGAGCAAACGGGAUUAGAUACCCUAGUAGUC
rnacentral:rRNA from 1 species